AAAGAACCAAGGGAGAUGAGAUGAGGCGAGAGAGAGGGAGGGAUAGAGAAGAAGCGCAUCAGUUUGUGCCUCCAUCUCUGGGCUGGAGCUGGAUAGAGAAGGGGAGAAAAUGAAAUAGCUGACGGAAGGAGUGAAGAGUUAUAAGCAGGUCACAAAAUGAUAUAGCAUCAAAAUUUUGGCCAGUUUGGUUAUUUUGACUAACUGAACCAAAAAUUUUUUAAAACUGAAACCAAAAACGGUCUGAUUAGACCUAAAAAU
rnacentral:misc_RNA from 1 species